rnacentral:rRNA from 1 species
AGCGAAAGGUGCUUGCACCUUUCAAGUGAGUGGCGAACGGGUGAGUAACACGUGGACAACCUGCCUCAAGGCUGGGGAUAACAUUUGGAAACAGAUGCUAAUACCGAAUAAAACUCAGUGUCGCAUGACACAAAGUUAAAAGGCGCUUUGGCGUCACCUARAGAUGGAUCCGCGGUGCAUUAGUUAGUUGGUGGGGUAAAGGCCUACCAAGACAAUGAUGCAUAGCCGAGUUGAGAGACUGAUCGGCCACAUUGGGACUGAGACACGGCCCAAACUCCUACGGGAGGCUGCAGUAGGGAAUCUUCCACAAUGGGCGAAAGCCUGAUGGAGCAACGCCGCGUGUGUGAUGAAGGCUUUCGGGUCGUAAAGCACUGUUGUAUGGGAAGAACAGCUAGAAUAGGGAAUGAUUUUAGUUUGACGGUACCAUACCAGAAAGGGACGGCUAAAUACGUGCCAGCAGCCGCGGUAAUACGUAUGUCCCGAGCGUUAUCCGGAUUUAUUGGGCGUAAAGCGAGCGCAGACGGUUAAUUAAGUCUGAUGUGAAAGCCCGGAGCUCAACUCCGGAAUGGCAUUGGAAACUGGUUAACUUGAGUGCAGUAGAGGUAAGUGGAACUCCAUGUGUAGCGGUGGAAUGCGUAGAUAUAUGGAAGAACACCAGUGGCGAAGGCGGCUUACUGGACUGUAACUGACGUUGAGGCUCGAAAGUGUGGGUAGCAAACAGGAUUAGAUACCCUGGUAGUCCACACCGUA